CCUACGGGUGGCAGCAGUGAGGAAUAUUGGUCAAUGGACGGAAGUCUGAACCAGCCAAGCCGCGUGCAGGAAGACGGCUCUAUGAGUUGUAAACUGCUUUUGUACAAGGGUAAACCUGAAUACGUGUAUUCAGCUGAAAGGACUGUACGAAUAAGGAACGGCUAACUCCGUGCCAGCAGCCGCGGUAAUACGGAGGAUCCAAGCGUUAUCCGGAUUUAUUGGGGUUAAAGGGUGCGUAGGCGGCUUGAUAAGUUAGAGGGGAAAUGUCCGAGCUUAACUCGGGAACUGCCUCUUAUACUGUUGUUCUCGAGCGUAGGUGCUGUAUGCGGAAUGUUUGGUGUAGCGG
rnacentral:rRNA from 1 species